rnacentral:sRNA from 1 species
ACGUACCAAAGUACGUUCCGGUUUCUGUGCUCCGGCCGCCCCUCGCUGACGGUCGCUCGCUACGCCAGUCAGAA